GAUGAACGCUGGCGGCGUGCCUAAUACAUGCAAGUCGAGCGAACGGACGAGGAGCUUGCUUUUCUGAUGUUAGCGGCGGACGGGUGAGUAACACGUGGAUAACCUACCUAUAAGACUGGGAUAACUUCGGGAAACCGGAGCUAAUACCGGAUAAUAUUUUGAACCGCAUGGUUCAAUAGUGAAAGACGGUCUUGCUGUCACUUAUAGAUGGAUCCGCGCUGCAUUAGCUAGUUGGUAAGGUAACGGCUUACCAAGGCAACGAUGCAUAGCCGACCUGAGAGGGUGAUCGGCCACACUGGAACUGAGACACGGUCCAGACUCCUACGGGAGGCAGCAGUAGGGAAUCUUCCGCAAUGGGCGAAAGCUUGACGGAGCAACGCCGCGUGAGUGAUGAAGGUCUUCGGAUCGUAAAACUCUGUUAUUAGGGAAGAACAUAUGUGUAAGUAACUGUGCACAUCUUGACGGUACCUAAUCAGAAAGCCACGGCUAACUUCGUG
rnacentral:rRNA from 1 species